AUUGAACGCUGGCGGCAGGCCUAACACAUGCAAGUCGAGCGGAUGAAGGGAGCUUGCUCCUGGAUUCAGCGGCGGACGGGUGAGUAAUGCCUAGGAAUCUGCCUGGUAGUGGGGGAUAACGUCCGGAGACGGGCGCUAAUACCGCAUACGUCCUGAGGGAGAAAGUGGGGGAUCUUCGGACCUCACGCUAUCAGAUGAGCCUAGGUCGGAUUAGCUAGUUGGUGGGGUAAAGGCCUACCAAGGCGACGAUCCGUAACUGGUCUGAGAGGAUGAUCAGUCACACUGGAACUGAGACACGGUCCAGACUCCUACGGGAGGCAGCAGUGGGGAAUAUUAGACAAUGGGCGAAAGCCUGAUCCAGCCAUGCCGCGUGUGUGAAGAAGGUCUUCGGAUUGUAAAGCACUUUAAGUUGGGAGGAAGGGCAGUAAGUUAAUACCUUGCUGUUUUGACGUUACCAACAGAAUAAGCACCGGCUAACUUCGUG
rnacentral:rRNA from 1 species